CCAUGCUUGGCCAGUAGUAGCCCAUUCUUUUGAGCUGGAAAUGUAGCUUUGGUCCAGAUUGAUGCGCCCCGCAUACGCCUGAGUGUGCUUCUUCCAUGGCUUGAUUAACUUCUUCCUUACCUAGGCAUCUCAGAAGUACUCAUUCGAAAGAGCGUCGGUAGAGUGUUUCUUUGUAAUAGAGGAAGCGAUGUGCUCGUCGACGUAUUUCGGAGCGGUGUCUAGGAUCAUCUGGCAGUUUUCCAUGCUCUAAGUAAUC
rnacentral:lncRNA from 1 species